rnacentral:rRNA from 1 species
CCUGGCGGCACUAGCGCGGUGGUCCCACCUGACCCCAUGCCGAACUCAGAAGUGAAACGCCGUAGCGCCGAUGGUAGUGUGGGGUCUCCCCUGA